AUUGAACGCUGGCGGCAGGCUUAACACAUGCAAGUCGAGCGGGGAAAAGUAGCUUGCUACUGGACCUAGCGGCGGACGGGUGAGUAAUGCUUAGGAAUCUGCCUAUUAGUGGGGGACAACAUCUCGAAAGGGAUGCUAAUACCGCAUACGUCCUACGGGAGAAAGCAGGGGACCUUUGGGCCUUGCGCUAAGAGAGGAGCCUAAGUCGGAGUAGCUAGGUGGUGGGGUAAAGGCCUACCAAGGCGACGAUCUGUAGCGGGUCUGAGAGGAUGGUCCGCCACACUGGGACUGAGACACGGCCCAGACUCCUACGGGAGGCAGCAGUGGGGAAUAUUGGACAAUGGGGGGAACCCUGAUCCAGCCAUGCCGCGUGUGUGAAGAAGGCCUUUUGGUUGUAAAGCACUUUAAGCGAGGAGGAGGCUACCGAGAUUAAUACUCUUGGAUAGUGGACGUUACUCGCAGAAUAAGCACCGGCUAACUCUGUGCCAGCCGCCGCCGUAAAAC
rnacentral:rRNA from 1 species